UUUGAGAACAGGCCAUGUCCCGUGCCCCUUACCGACUUUUCCCCUGUGAGGCCGAGAGAGGGACGGGCUCUGGGUGCAAUGUGACAGGCAGGCUGCUCCCCAGGACGCCAAUGGGACACACCCCUCAACCCACGCAUUCCUCUGCCAGGAGGCCUCUUCCUGGGCCGGGACUCCUGGUCAUAUCCAGGGGCCGUCGGGCACUGUGGUGCAGGCUGUCGGCCCCCUAGGAGUCCUUGCUUGGGGAGGGGCCCAGGCACAGCUGCCACCUGGAUUUCCCACUGGUUCCCAGACAGCCCCUGGGCUCGUGGGGAUUAUGUGACAGGAGCUGUCAACGAGGAACCGCGAUGCUUUCCCUCUGGGUUCUGGAGCCACGUGGCACUGUGGGCCGUCACUGCCGAGGGUCGCGCUACGGUGGACGGCUGGGGCGGUACAGAGACGCAGGCAACUUCUAGGCAAGAACAAGCCCUCCCUCUUUCCGGCUCCUAGUUAAUGUCUGGAGUCCGGGUUCCUCCACGGAGAAGCGGAGACACCUGUCCCUGCAGGGCUGUGGGGUGCACGUGCCCCACGGGCAGCGGCUGCAGAGGGUGCUGAAGGCCGCGGGGUGCAGGCCGCCCCUCCCUUACCUUGGUUCACCACCUCGUCGCCACUCAUCUUCUGAAGGAGACGCACCGUUUCUCCAACCGGCUUCCCAACGGCCAACAGAUCUAGGGGAGAAGCGUCCCCUCAGGAGGGCAUGGACACCUUGGCAGCCUUGCUGAAGGGUUGCGGGACAGGCCCAGGAUGCCAAGGGCCCACGCACUUUCCCAUAAGACGCUGGCCCGCAGCGCAUUGUCCUGCAGCAGUGUCGGCCACUGGUUUGCCAGGAUGCUCUUGACGCCCACCAGGCUCAGCAAGAUGGCCACCUCCACGGGCUCCUCCAGGGACAGCUGUGAGGCGCUGUGGGGACCCGGCUCCCGUGGGCUGGUGCCAGGGGCCCAGCUGAGCCGCCCCCUCCCCACGCACAGCCACACCUCGCCAACUGCUGGAACGCAUGUGCGCCCCGACAGCGCUCACUGUUCUUGAAACCGGACCCCAGGUCCCUGCUCCCUUGUGGGUCCCACGCCCGUCUGUCUGACCUCUCCAUCCUCAGCACCCCCGCCCACCCGCUCCAGGCAGCCAGGCACCUCCUGUGCUCCACGCUCUUCAUGUGCCGCUUCAAGCUCUGGUAGGACCGCGCCAGGUCCAGCAGGACUGCCACCUGGCACUCUGCCGGGACGGGAAGGGCAGCUCAACAGCCUUGGCCCAACACGGGGAGUGGGGAUGGGGUGUGGGCGGGUGGGGCCUGUGCCCCCAGGGCGCAGCAGGGCAUGGCACGCUGGCCACUCAGCUCUGGGCUCUGACCUCAUGACCGUCAGGUUCUUUCCAGGGACCCCCUGGCCACAGUGGACCUCGCCAGCCUCAGGAGCCCAGACCCUUCACAGCCUCCUCCAGGCGACUGUGCCCGGCAACAGGAAGUGGUGGGAAGCCCACCUGGACUCCCCCAGCCUCGUCUGCCCUGGAGGUCAUCUCGGUGCCCCCACCAUGCCUGGACGCCCUGGCACCCCACAUGAAUGAGCUCGCCCUGUGGUGUCCGAGUGGCCGCGCCCGCCGUCUCCGUCAGUGCUACCCUCGGGCUGUGGCGUGUGAUGGGGUGAUGUGCCCCAUGCGUGUGCUGUGCUCACACCACGCCCCCAGCCUGCCCUGCCAUCCCCACCUCCUGCCAAAAGCCCCCCUGUGCUGGAGCUGGCUGGGGUGUCACUGUGCCGGGCAUCGCAGGACCACACCUGGCAGCCCCUCCACGGCUGGUGGACAGCGAAGGGGAAGGGGUCACGGCGGAGCCUAGUCAAGGGGACCCAUGAUGUCCCGCCCAUCGCGACGUGAACGUGUCUUGGAAUCUUUCCAAAAUGUCUUGGGUGAUGGAGACAGGAGUCAGCAUUUCUGCAAGGAGAACAGGGUGGAUACAGACCACGGUGUUUCAUCAGACACAGGCUCUGAGUAGACAGUCAUGUGCCUGGGAAGGAUGGCCACUUCCCUCCUGUUUCUGCCCCCGACUUUCCUUUCUGUGUGCCUAUGCUGGGGCCUCCAGCAGACAGCGGAACGGACGCAUGGAUGGGGCCCACUGCCUGACCGCCUUCAAAGAGGCUGCUUCUGAGGGAAUCCCCAUUAAAAAGGAGGCUGUCUCU